rnacentral:piRNA from 1 species
AGGAUCGGGUUGGGGGAAAUGUUGUU